ACAUAAAUCGUCCUAAAACCUUGGCAGGGAGGUCCUCCACACACAAUAUUUACAAGGACGUUUUGCACGUUGCAUUCUUUGAAAUUGAUGUGAAUAUUGUGUGUGGAGACAUCUUUGUCAAGGUGUUAGAUGAUUUAUAUUAA
rnacentral:pre_miRNA from 1 species